rnacentral:lncRNA from 10 species
CAAAGCGUGCUUAUAAGUUAUCGAGAUGGACUUUUUCUCCCCUGCAGCAUGCCAGAAACUAUACAAUCCACCCCCUCUGAAGGAGUUUGUUCAUUUAAAAAAAAAAAAAGGGAAAUUUGGGUGCAGACAGGCACACAGGGAGAACACCAUGUCAACACGAAGGCAGAAGUUGGAGUGAUGAGUCUACAAGCCAAGGAUUGCCAGCAAUUCAUCAGAGGCCAGGACAGCAGCCUGGGGCAGCCCCCUACAUGGUACCAACUCCAUCAACACCUUGAUCUCAGACUUCCAACCUCCAGAACUGUGUGAGAAUUCAUUUCUAUUCUUUAAGCCACCUAAUUUGUGGCACUUUGCUUUGACAGUUCUAGCACACAGGGUGAUUGAGGAAGCGUGCUAGGAAGAGAGGAAGCAGGGGUCCUAGAGUGGGCGGCAUGCCUUGCAGCCGUGGAGGCCACACAGCUGUGGGAAAUGACAGGGUCUGCAAUCACGGUGAUGAAAG